GCGGCCGUUCGAACGGGGCUGGGAGCGGCCCGGGCCGGAGCGGGACCGGGCUCGGCCUCAGGCUCGGGUCCGCCGCGGGCACGGCGCAGCCGGGACACGGUGCAGCCGGAUCCCCGUACGGCGCAGCCGGGACACGGCGCAGCCGGAGCCCCAGACCGACAGCCCGCGGCUCGCAGCGCAGGUGGGGCCGGGAGGCGCUCGGAGCUGCCUCAGACAGGUGUGCCGCCCUUUGAAGGCCGGGAAUAAAGUGAGACAGACCGCGCAAGGUGAAGGAAACCUGACACUGAACCUACCACGGACAAGUUGAAGAAUUCUUACCUUUUGCUGGGAUUUUGAUGGGUUUUUCCCCAUCUCCAGAGCAGGAUCUCUAUCCCACAACUCGCUGUUAUGUCUAUCUAAGACUGACUUGCACAACCUCCUUGCCUAUAGAAUGGAAAAUUGAUCAAUGUAUUUCAGUCUGACCUUGUAAGCAGCUGUAACUGAAGAAAAUCUCCUGGAAAGUGACUAGUAAAGUGAAAUUCAGAACUUCCUACUUAAUACCCAGGAAGGAAGAAGUGAGAGCUGAAGACUGACAUGUCAACAGGUGUGUUCACACACUCUACUUGCAGUCAGAAAAAUCCAACUCAUCCUGAAUCAAUUUACUGCUUUGCUUCAGUGCUUUUGAAAAUGGUGAUUAAGACUUCAUGUUAUAAUCUGGAACAAGGUGAUUAAUGGCCCCUCAAAAAUCCACACAAGGUCUCAGCUGUAACUUACUAUUUUCACCACUGUUGGAGACAAUAAAGGAAGGAAGAGUGUGAAACAAAGUGAUAAGGAUUUGUGGCUUUGGGGCUGGAAAAGCUUUGGCUUAUAAGGCUAAGUAGCUUAAUGUUGGGCAUAGAGACAUCUCAAUCACUCCGAGGGUGGCUGUCACAAAACAGCUUGUCAGGCUUCAUCUGGAGAGGUUUACAAUGCAUCCUGUAAUGGAGUGUGAUUAUUGCUGUCACAAACACCAGAUGAGAAGUCAGAAAAUAAACAUAGUCCAGCAUCUGACACAAAGUCUGUGGUUUUAAUUACCACUGUUUAAUUAACUUAGUUAAAAGAAUGGAAGUAUUGGUUUUUUCAAAAAGGUUUUUUAGACAUACAGAAAAAUCCUCAUAUAAAUAUCACUUAUAUAAUUUAAUGUUUUCAACCUAUUUAAAAUAAUAAAAUUGUACAUGAUUACCAGUAUCAAAUGCUUUUUCAGUUUACAAACAUGAUUCCAACUUUCCUAGCUUGAUUUUGUUCUGAACAGCAAGGAAGACUAUGUGUCAUAUACACUGUAGUUAGCUUGUGUUGGCCAGUUAAUACAUAGGUGGGAGCAAAACUGUUGUUAUAGAACUUAUUAUUUUUUUUAAUUCCCAAAGCUUAUCUGCUUUCUAUUAACCAGCAGUUCAAAGGGUCAGCAAAGAUGAUGUUUUGUGCAUUGAGGACUGUAUGAACACACAGCCAUCAGGAUCUACCUUGGUUUACUAAUUCGUCUAAUAUUUAGAAAUACUUUUCUCUUUAUUUUGAACAUAGUUUUCUACCUAGUGUGAGACACUCUUGGCAGUGGGAAAGGGAAUAAAAUAUUUUUGUAUAAAUGCAUUUUGGUUUGGAUGAUGGUGUUUCCCAUCCAUGCAUGCUGAUCUACAAAAACCCUUACAAGGAGCUGUGAAGUAAUAGAAAUAAAGGGUGGGGUGGAUACUGAUCCUGUUCAAUCCUGACUGGCCAGUAGAGGACAUAUCCUCCCAAAUCCUGUUUAGGGUUAAAAGGAUUGAUCCUUGUGCAUCUACUUGGCUUUGUAAUUGUGUCCUUACCUACUAUGAUAUUUAAUUAAACAUUAAAAUAUAGUUAAAUAGA